GCCGCAAUAGCUCAGUUGGGAGAGCAGUAGACUGAAGUUCUAAAGGUCACCUGUUCGAUCCAGGUUUGUGGCA